UACCUGCAGCUCAAGUAGUGACCACUAUUAUUGGGCCUAAAACGUUCGUAGCCUGUUUGGUAAAUGCCUAGGUAAAUCGUGUAGCUUAACUAUACGAAUUCCGGGUAGACUGAUAGACUUGGGACCGGGAGAGGCUAGAGGUACUCCUGGGGUAGAGGUGAAAUUCUGUAAUCCUAGGGGGACCACCAGUGGCGAAAGCGUCUAGCUAGAACGGGUCUGACGGUGAGGGACGAAGCCCUGGGGCGCAAACCGGAUUAGAUACCCGGGUAGUCCAGGGUGUAAACGCUGCUUGCUUGAUGUUAGUCGGGCUCCGAGCCCGAUUAGUGUCGGAGAGAAGUUGUUAAGCAAGCUGCCUGGGAAGUACGGCCGCAAGACUGAAACUUAAAGGAAUUGGCGGGGGAGCACAGCAACGGGUGGAGCGGUGCGGUUU
rnacentral:rRNA from 1 species